rnacentral:rRNA from 1 species
GCAGUAGGGAAUUUUCGGCAAUGGAGGAAACUCUGACCGAGCAACGUCGCGUGAACGAUGAAGUAUUUCGGUAUGUAAAGUUCUUUUAUUGAAGAAGAAAAAAUAGUGGAAAAACUAUCUUGACGCUAUUCAAUGAAUAAGCCCUGGCUAAUUAUGUGCCAGCAGCCGCGGUAAUACAUAAAGGGCGAGCGUUAUCCGGAAUUAUUGGGCGUAAAGGGUGCGUAGGCGGUUUGUUAAGUCUUUAGUUUAAUCUCAGUGCUUAACGCUGUUCUGCUAGAGAAACUGACUUACUAGAGUGAGAUAGAGGCAAGUGGAAUUCCAUGUGUCAGCGGUAAAAUGCGUAAAUAUAUGGAGGAACACCAGAGGCGUAGGCGGCUUGCUGGGUCUUUACUGACGCUGAGGCACGAAAGCGUGGGGAGCAAACAGGAUUAGAUACCCUGGUAGUCCACGCCGUAAACGAUGAGUACUAAGUGUCGGGGAAACUCGGUACUGAAGUUAACACAUUAAGUACUCCGCCUGAGUAGUACGUACGCAAGUAUGAAACUUAAAGGAAUUGACGGGAUCCCGCACAAGCGGUGGAUCAUGUUGUUUAAUUCGAAGAUACACGAAAAACCUUACCAGGUCUUGACAUACUCUGCAAAGCUGUAGAAAUACAGUGGAGGUUAUCAGGGAUACAGGUGGUGCAUGGUUGUCGUCAGCUCGUGUCGUGAGAUGUUAGGUUAAGUCCUAGAACGAGCGCAACCCUUGUCGUUAGUUACCAGCACGUUAUGGUGGGCACUUUAACGAGACUGCCAAUGAAAUAUUGGAGGAAGGUGAG